ACUACCUUAUUAACAGUAAAAUAUCAGAGGAUCUUUACCACGAAUGUUACCGUAGUGUGGCUGUGAUGUUCGCUUCCAUUCCUAAUUACAAAGAAUUCUACGACGAGACAGACAUCAAUAAACAAGGCCUGGAAUGUCUGCGUCUCCUGAACGAGAUCAUCUGUGAUUUUGACAAGCUUCUGUCGAAGCCCAAGUUCAGCUGUGUGGAGAAGAUAAAGACGAUUGGAAGCACUUACAUGGCAGCUGCCGGUCUGCAGCCAGGCAAGGAAGAAAAUG